CCUUCAUCCUGUGACGCACCGCUAGGAGCAGAAAAGGAUCAUUGAGCAAUCUGAGGGAGUGGCGGUUGACGGAGGCCAUGACCCGCCCCUCGUGGGCUCCUUUGGCUCUGUGGCUAGGUCGGGGAGGAACUUUUUUUUAAGUGCCCGUGGAGGAAUCGUUCCGUUUAGCAGUGUUUGGGUGACGCGACACAAGAGUAUAAAAGCAAAAGUUGUAACCUCCACCUGUAGGAGUUAGUGACAAGGAGGGCUCGCUCUUGGGGCUAGUGGUGGGGAGGCAGUGGCCAGUUCAGGGCUCAGAUGAGAGAGGUGGCAGAAUUAGAGGCAGCCACUAGGAUGGGGGUGCGAGGAGAAGCGGGGCUAAGUAUAAAGGAGACUAGAUUUUGGGACAGUGGACGUGUGGAAGGCAGCUUCCAAAGCGCCUUUAACAAUCCACAAAGAACCAGCAGCUUUCAAGACCAGGCUAUCCCUGCUGUCUGCUGGCACUUGACGUCCAGGAGGGCACAAGUUUCACAGGCCUACAUGGGGGCAGUGUCCUAACUUGAGUGGCAGAGCAGCAGUUGAUGGAGACGGGUGGACUGGGGGCCCUUGAAGGCCCCGGAAAUCAUAGAGGACAGGCAGUGGGGCAGGACUAGGUGCGUAGUGGAGGUCGCCUUUGAUCUUGACAAAACCAGCAGACCCCUUUUUUUCCAGAUAAGGGGUUGUGAACCCACCUGGGGAUGAGGCCUGGUCUUAUGGAAGGUGGACUUAGCUUCGCUGGGCGGACAGCUCUGGCCCAGGGUGAUAGCAGUGCCCUCUCUGGACUUUGCCUAGGUUCCGUGCUUCCUCUUCUGUGGUCUCACUCUUCCCUACUCUUGCCCCUCACUCUGAGGUUAAGGGGUCACUUAAAACCUUGCCCCUGGGUCGUCCGGUAAGCCUGUGGAGGAUGUAGAGUCGGUGCUGGAGUCUUGGGCACGGCAUUUUGUGUUCACCAUGGCAAGCAGAUGGCACCAGGAGAUAUGGAGCCCCUGCCAGUGUGAGUCGUAGCAGUGCAGGAGGGCUCACCCUGGAGGAGACAGCGGCCUCGGUUGACGCCUACACAGUGAAUUCCAGAGGCUUAGGAAGCGCGUCCCUGCCCUGGGUCCAGGCCUUUCUCAGGAAGCCCUGUGCUCAGGAGGCCAUCGUUGAAGUCAGCUUGUAGGGGGUGGGCAGGUGCUUCCAGCCGGAGGGGCCGUCGGCUGUGAAUGUUCCAGAUGAAUGUCUUGUUCUGGGAGCAUCAUUCUUUGCGGAUGCAUGAAUGGCAGCAGGCACCCUUUUUCAUGGGGGUAGAGGCGUUCGACUGCUGCAUCUUCUAAACAAGCCUCCAUCCAGCCUUUGUAGUUCUGUGCUGCGAACUUGGCCUCGAGAAGAUUGCGUAAGGUGUAGGACACUUUAACGUCUGCGCAGCGUGCUGCACUGUAGAUCGGGACCCCAGUGACCUCGCCCACCUUCCCUGCUUCUGCAGCCUGCCUGCCUCUGCAUUGGUCAGAGGGAUUCUUAACUGAAAACUUGUGGGUGUUGGGGAAAGCUGUUGGGUUGUAAAUGACUGGUGUGGAGGAAUCUUCCUUAGAUGGAGCUGGUUGUAAAAUGGGUAGGGUUUGUGGUUUAACAGUGGGAAGGCGCAAGUUAGCCACAAAUUCUGCCGACUUGGUAGAUGCCGUAUCUAAUUUGGGCUUUGGGACGUCUUCUGGACUAAAAGGGAUCCGUGGGCCCGAAGUGGUCCCUGGGAAUGGUCUCUCCCAGGGUGUGGAUUUGAUACUGGGUGGUUGAGUGGCAACAGUGGUUCUGGCCCCUUUUGUUCAUUAGCUUUUAUGACUUAGGGCCUGGCUGUGUAUACCAGGCUGGCCUGGGUUCACAGCCCUGCUCAGAUGACAGUGUCCUGAAACAAUGGCCUUCCAAGGUGAAACCUGAGUUAUGGAUCAAGCUUGGGAAUAAUACUUUUGGCACCAGAUAUGGGACUUGUGGGAGAAAGCAGGGCUCAGCUUGGCAUUGGUGGGUUGAAGGAGUCGGGGUGCGGGUGAGGAUUGUGCCUGGAACCGUGGGUUGAUGGGAAUAACAGUUUGGGAACUAAAUAGUUCACAUGAAAAUCUAAAGGCUGAUGGUAAAUCCCUGCAGGUGGCACUACUUUGAGAUGCAGUUGCUUGGAAAAUACCAAAAUCCUACAAGGGGAAGAGCAAAAUUGUUUUGCUUCACUGUUGAAUGGGGAAGGGUGACAUUGAAAAGCUUUUCUUAGUUGCUCAAUAGAUGGUUGUCACUACCCUGACCUAGGCAGGCCACAGGGGUGGAGCCUGGUGGGGGGAAGCUGAUUGCCAAGAAGUGAAGCUGGGGAGGGGCUUGUAAACGCCUCCCGUUGUGGGCUCUGAAACCAUAGUAUGGGGAGGUUGGCAGACUCUUCUGGGUCUCUAUUGAAAUUCUGUCAUACUGUGUGAUUAAGAAUUCCAAUGCUGCUAUCUAAAGGAAUUUCAUAUGGGAGUCAUGCCUUAUACAACACAUACAGGAAUUUAAUGUGUGAGCCAUGCCUUCAAAACACAUCUUGAAUUUCUGGAAUUGGCCAGAAGACAACAGGGUUUGCUUAUUUAACCUUUCAAAUCAGUCAUUGUGACAAGGGGACAGGGUCUUGCGCUUGCUAUGAGAUCAUUGUGAUGCUUGUAGAAACCUCAUGAGUGCUUUGCCACUGAAUACAUCCAUUGUGGGUUUGGCUUGAAUGGUGCUUAAAAACCAUCCCUGAGCAGAGGGGAAGCUGUUAAACUGUCAGUCAAAGCAGUUUGGGAAAUAAAAGAGACUGGGCCCUGGGUCAUCUUACUAGAUAACACUUUGUAAAAAUUGGUUCUGAAAACCCUGUUUAUUUGCAUAUUUGUGAAAACCCUGUAUAUGUGGUUGUUUUGUGAGUGUGCUUAAAAGUGGUGUGACCAGGGCAAGAUCGCUCAUUGGAACAGCUGUGUGGAAUGGGGAAAUGUGAAGAAAGCUGUAACUGCAGGUUGGUCGCACACGCUUCUCUGUACUAAAGUGUUCAGUGUACAAACCCACUAACCAUUUUCCUCCCCUUUACAGCAAAAUAAAGGUUUGAGAUUGAAGCU
rnacentral:lncRNA from 1 species